rnacentral:rRNA from 1 species
UACAGAGGUCUCAAGCGUUGUUCGGAUUCAUUGGGCGUAAAGAGCGUGUAGGCGGCUUUACAGGUCCGUUGUGAAAACUCGAGGCUCAACCUCGAGACGCCGGUGGAAACCGUAAGGCUAGAGUCCGGAAGAGGAGAGUGGAAUUCCUGGUGUAGCGGUGAAAUGCGCAGAUAUCAGGAGGAACACCCGUGGCGAAAGCGGCUCUCUGGGACGGUACUGACGCUGAGACGCGAAAGCGUGGGGAGCAAACAGG